rnacentral:rRNA from 1 species
CAGUCGCCGCGGGAACACAGAGGGUGCGAGCGUUAAUCGGAAUUACUGGGCGUAAAGGGCGCGUAGGCGGUGAGAUGUGUGUGGUGUGAAAGCCCCGGGCUUAACCUGGGAAGUGCAUCGCAAACUAUCUGACUGGAGUAUAUGAGAGGGUGGCGGAAUUUCCGGUGUAGCGGUGAAAUGCGUAGAGAUCGGAAGGAACGUCAAUGGCGAAGGCAGCCACCUGGCAUAAUACUGACGCUGAGGCGCGAAAGCGUGGGGAGCGAACAGGAUUAGAUACCCCCGUAGUCCCUGUCUCUUAUAC